UGUUCGGAAUUAUUGGGCGUAAAGCGCGUGUAGGCGGCUUUGCAAUUCGGAUGUGAAAGCCCUCGGCUCAACCGAGGAAGUGCGUUCGAAACUGCAGAGCUUGAGUGCCGGAGAGGGUGGCGGAAUUCCCCAAGUAGAGGUGAAAUUCGUAGAUAUGGGGAGGAACACCGGUGGCGAAGGCGGCCACCUGGACGGUCACUGACGCUGAGACGCGAAAGCGUGGGUAGCAAACAGG
rnacentral:rRNA from 1 species